rnacentral:rRNA from 1 species
CCCUUAGAUGUUCUGGGCCGCACGCGUGCUACACUGAGUAAAUCAAUGGGUAAGGGAACACGAAAGUGCAACCUAAUCUUCAAAUUUGCUCGUGAUGGGGAUCGACGGUUGCAAUUUUCCGUCGUGAACGAGGAAUACCCUGUAGGCGCGUGUCAUCAUCACGCGCCGAAUACGUCCCUGCCCUUUGUACACACCGCCCGUCGCUCCUACCGAUUGAGUGAUCCGGUGAGGCUCUGGGACCUGGACGGAAAGAGCGUUUCGCUUGUUCUGUUUGGGAAACUUGGUCGAACCUUAUCAUUUAGAGGAAGGAGAAGUCGUAACA